GAGGGUAGGUCCCUCGCAAUCGGUUUACAGGAACAGGUUGCAAACCAUCACAAGCUGCGUUUUGAGCAAUCAAAAAGUGGUGAACGUUGUGUGUAAUAAGUCAGAAGAUAUGGUAAGG
rnacentral:ncRNA from 1 species